rnacentral:rRNA from 1 species
UGCGUAGGUGGGCUAGUAAGUCCGUGGUGAAAUCCCCGAGCUUAACUUGGGAACUGCCAUUGAUACUAUUAGUCUUGAAUAUCGUGGAGGUAAGCGGAAUAUGUCAUGUAGCGGUGAAAUGCUUAGAUAUGACAUAGAACACCAAUUGCGAAGGCAGCUUGCUACACGGUCAUUGACACUGAGGCACGAAAGCGUGGGGAGCAAACAGGAUUAGAUACCCUGGUAGUCC